rnacentral:rRNA from 1 species
CACCGGCGGCUCGAGUGGUAACCGUUAUUAUUGGGGUCUAAAGGGUCUGUAGCCGGCCGGAUAAGUCUCUUGAGAAAUCUGGCAGCUUAACUGUCAGGCUUUCAGGAGAUACUGUCUGGCUCGAGGCCGGGAGAGGUGAGAGGUACUUCAGGGGUAGGGUGAAAUCUUGUAAUCCUUGAAGGACCACCAGUGGCGAAGGCGUCUCACCAGAACGGACCUGACGGCAAGGGACGAAAGCUAGGGGCACGAACGGAUUAGAUACCCGCGUAGUCCCUGAGCGGGCU